UACGGGGGGGCAAGCGUUGUUCGGAAUUACUGGGCGUAAAGGGCUCGUAGGCGGCCAACUAAGUCAGACGUGAAAUCCCUCGGCUUAACCGGGGAACUGCGUCUGAUACUGGAUGGCUUGAGUUUGGGAGAGGAUGCGGAAUUCCAGGUGUAGCGGUGAAAUGCGUAGAUAUCUGGAGGAACACCGGUGGCGAAGGCGGCAUCCUGGACCAACACUGACGCUGAGUGAGCGAAGCCAGGGAGCAAACGGG
rnacentral:rRNA from 1 species